CCGUGCAGGACGGGGCGGUAGCGGCGCCUUGUAACCAUCAAUCCGCUGUAGUUGGGUCCAUGUCCGCGCCAAGGGCCUGCCUUGUGGGGCAGCUCCAUAUAAGCGAUGUUGAAGAUCGGGUCCCGCGCGGCGGGCUGCCGUGAACCCCGUCAGGUCCGGAAGGAAGCAGCGGUAAGCGGAUCUGUCCCGGGCGCCGCGGGCCAGCCUGAUCUGAGUUGGCUGUAUGGGAAGCGCCUGUAAGGUAUGUUCGAAGCCGGACGCACGG
rnacentral:SRP_RNA from 1 species